GUCAGCUGCCAUAUCACUCUGCAACUCACAACUGGCAAACCACUGAAGCUAAGUCAGUGGUUUAGCUGGUCGGUACCUGGAUGGGAGACCUCCUGGGAAAAACUAAGGUUGCUGCUGGAA
rnacentral:rRNA from 1 species